rnacentral:rRNA from 1 species
GAUGAACGCUGGCGGCGUGCUUAACACAUGCAAGUCGAACGGAAAGGCUCCUGUUUGCUGGGGUACUCGAGUGGCGAACGGGUGAGUAACACGUGGGUAAUCUGCCCUGGACUUCGGGAUAAGCCCGGGAAACUGGGGCUAAUACCGGAUAGGACGAUGGUCUGGAUGGUGUUGUGUGAAAAGUUUCGGCGGGUGGGGAUGGAGUCGCGGCUUAUCAGCUUGGUGGUGGGGUAGGGGCUUACCAAGGCUUUGACGGGUAGCCGGCCUGAGAGGGUGACCGGCCACAUUGGGACUGAGAUACGGCCCAGACUCCUACGGGAGGCAGCAGUGGGGAAUAUUGCACAAUGGGCGGAAGCCUGAUGCAGCAACGCCGCGUGCGGGAUGACGGCCUUCGGGUUGUAAACCGCUUUCGCCUGUGACGAAGCGUGAGUGACGGUAAUGGGUAAAGAAGCACCGGCUAACUACGUG